UGGAAAGCUGACUGGGCCAUGGGCCUU
rnacentral:piRNA from 2 species